CAGCAGCCGCGGUAAUACAGAGGGUGCGAGCGUUAAUCGGAUUUACUGGGCGUAAAGCGUGCGUAGGCGGCUUCUUAAGUCGGAUGUGAAAUCCCUGAGCUUAACUUAGGAAUUGCAUUCGAUACUGGGAAGCUAGAGUAUGGGAGAGGAUGGUAGAAUUCCAGGUGUAGCGGUGAAAUGCGUAGAGAUCUGGAGGAAUACCGAUGGCGAAGGCAGCCAUCUGGCCUAAUACUGACGCUGAGGUACGAAAGCAUGGGGAGCAAACAGGAUUAGAUACCCGAGUAGUCCCUGUCUCUUAUAC
rnacentral:rRNA from 1 species